rnacentral:tRNA from 2 species
CUGCGAUUGCGCACGGAAGGCGCGUUGGGGCUUCUGCCGCUGAAAACUAACGGUUCCGGCGCCGCCAUCGCAGG